rnacentral:rRNA from 1 species
GUCGAUCUGCUCCAUGAAAUAAAUUUAAAUAGCUGCAGUAUAUUGACUGUACAAAGGUAGCAUAAUAAAUUGUCUUUUAAUUGAAGAAUUGAAUGAAUGAAUUGAUGAAAUAACAACUGUCUCUAUUUUAUUUAAUGAAUUUAAAUUUUUAGUAAAAAUUCUGAAAUUUAAUUAUGGGACGAUAAGACCCUAUAGAAUUUUAUUUAAUAUAAUUAUUUAUUUAAAUUAUUUGUGAAUAUAUAAUUAAUUUAAAUUUGAUUGGGAGGAUUGGUAAAUAAAAAUAACUUUAUCUAAAAAUUAAUUUUGAUGAAAAGAUUUUUUUUUGACUUAUAAUUUAUGAUUAAAAGAAUAAAUUACCUUAGGGAUAACAGCGUAAUAUCUUUUGAUAGACCACAUUGAUAAAGAUGUUUGCGACCUCGAUGUUGAAUUAAGAGAAAAGUUAAACGCAGGAGUUUAAAAUUUUAAGUCUG